UACGUAGGGUGCAAGCGUUAAUCGGAAUUACUGGGCGUAAAGCGUGCGCAGGCGGUUUUGUAAGCCAGAUGUGAAAGCCCCCGGGCUUAACCUGGGAAUGGCAUUUGGGACUGCAAGGCUGAGUGCGGCAGAGGAGACUGGAAUUCCUGGUGUAGCAGUGAAAUGCGUAGAUAUCAGGAGGAACACCGAUGGCGAAGGCAGGUCUCUGGGCUGACACUGACGCUCAUGCACGAAAGCGUGGGGAGCAAACAGGAUUAGAACCUACGU
rnacentral:rRNA from 1 species